GACGAACGCUGGCGGCGUGCCUAAUACAUGCAAGUCGAGCGAAUGGAAGGGAGCUUGCUCCCUGAAGUUAGCGGCGGACGGGUGAGUAACACGUGGGCAACCUGCCUGUAAGACUGGGAUAACUUCGGGAAACCGGAGCUAAUACCGGAUACGUUCUUUUCUCGCAUGAGGAAAGAUGGAAAGAUGGUUUCGGCUAUCACUUACAGAUGGGCCCGCGGCGCAUUAGCUAGUUGGUGGGGUAAUGGCCUACCAAGGCGACGAUGCGUAGCCGACCUGAGAGGGUGAUCGGCCACACUGGGACUGAGACACGGCCCAGACUCCUACGGGAGGCAGCAGUAGGGAAUCUUCCGCAAUGGACGAAAGUCUGACGGAGCAACGCCGCGUGAGCGAAGAAGGCCUUCGGGUCGUAAAGCUCUGUUGUCAGGGAAGAACAAGUGCCAGAGUAACUGCUGGCACCUUGACGGUACCUGACCAGAAAGCCACGGCUAACUACGUGCCAGCCGCCGCAGUAAGAC
rnacentral:rRNA from 1 species